CACCAGUGGAGAUCGUUGACGUGACUGCUAGGCUACCAGAAGCACAGGGAGAUGGAGCAAGGUCAUCCAUUGCUGACUCCAUGUGUUUAAGUAUCAGCAUCACUGAAAAUCAACAUGUGUAUAAACUACAUUUAAGUUCAUCACUGAAGGAGGUCUAUUUCUCCACUGUAGAGUGUGGAUACAAGUAUCCCCAUGGAUUCACUUUCUGCCAGGCCAUUUUUUGUUGGUUCGAACAUGUUCAUAAGCAAUUA